GCCCUUUUCCGGUUGAUCCUGCCGGAGGCCAUUGCUAUUGGAGUUCGAUUUAGCCAUGCUAGUCGUACGGGUUCAGACCCGUGGCGAAUAGCUCAGUAACACGUGGCCAAACUACCCUGUGGACGGGGAUACUCUCGGGAAACUGAGGCUAAUCCUCGAUAGGGCUUCCAUCCUGGAAUGGAGGAAGCCUGAAACGCUCCGGCGCCACAGGAUGUGGCUGCGGCCGAUUAGGUAGACGGUGGGGUAACGGCCCACCGUGCCAGUAAUCGGUACGGGUGAUGGAAGUCAGAGCCCGGAGACGGUAUCUGAGACAAGAUACCGGGCCCUACGGGGCGCAGCAGGCGCGAAACCUUUACACUGCACGACAGUGCGAUAGGGGAACUCCAAGUGCGAGGGCAUACAGUCCUCGCUUUUCUGGACCGUAAGGAGGUCGAGGAACAAGGGCUGGGCAAGACCGGUGCCAGCCGCCGCGGUAAUACCGGCAGCCCAAGUGAUGGCCAAUAUUAUUGGGCCUAAAGCGUCCGUAGCCGGCCGGACAAGUCCGUUGGGAAAUCCACGCGCUCAACGCGUGGGCGUCCAGCGGAAACUGUCCGGCUUGGGGCCGGAGGACUCGAGGGGUACGUCCGGGGUAGGAGUGAAAUCCCGUAAUCCUGGACGGACCACCGGUGGCGAAAGCGCCUCGAGAAGACGGACCCGACGGUGAGGGACGAAAGCCAGGGUCUCGAACCGGAUUAGAUACCCGGGUAGUCCUGGCCGUAAAC
rnacentral:rRNA from 1 species